CUUUUGGUUUUCCUGAUUUUAUUUUGUUGUUUGUGCCUUACAGCUGAACUAGAGUUGAUUUUGGUCUAGGAGGUAGAGCAUGAAGACCAUGGUGCAGAACUUGCACAACCACGUUAAGCGUGCGGUCGCUGCUUGUGUCUAGAGGCGUGCACGUGACCUGUUGUGGCUAAUCGGUGCAGCAGGGGAAUGCACAGCGCAAUUGGUGUAUCCUUCUGGGGAAGUGAGUGCUGCCUCCAGCCCUCGACCAUCUUCAUUACUUGCACGAGGAAGCACGAUUCCUUCUGGGGAAGUGAGUGCUGCCUCCAGCCCUCGACCAUCUUCAUUACUUGCACGAGGAAGGACGAUUUGAGAGCGGCGUGGAGGGGCAGACGAUGGCGAGCGCGACCAAAUUGAUGCGCAGUAUAUGAAAGGGGGAGCUAUCAGCUGUAAGUUUGUAGAGUGGGUAUAUGCAAGUUAUCCUCCGAGUUAGGAUCGAUAAAUAUGUAUAUAUCAAUUUUUCUAUCACCGUUGUUUGUUCCAGCAUUCAACCAUCUAUAUUUUGCACUAGGUGAAAUGUUUGGAAAAUAUAUUAUCUACAUGGCUGGCAUGCCAGACAUUGGAAGCAAGCAAUGAUACCAUCUGUAGGUGCUCGCGAAGCAACCCUAAGCUUGCUAACAACAGCUUUGAAUUCCUUUUCGUCCUUGAUGCUUACAUUUGCUUCCAUCCGAGAAGGCAAGAAACCUCUACCUUUCCCUCCCAUUGUUAAUUUACUUCUCUUUACCUAUUCUGGUAGGAACUUACUAGGUUGAGACCACUUGGCAAUGAAGUGAUCAGCUAUAGUGCCUUGAAACCUCUUCAAUUUUUCAUUGGGUUGACAAUUUCUUUCUUUCAGUUUUUCACAACAGAUAUUGAUAAUGAGGCACCGUGCAAUAUUCUUUGUUAGCUGGAAAAGGACUAAGAUGCUAGGUAGCUUUAGCUCCAAAUUGCAGCACAUAUCACUCCAUGGUAGCUACAGAAGAAAGAACGGCAUACCAGAUAUUG